rnacentral:rRNA from 1 species
CGGGGGAGCAAGCAUUGUUCGGAUUUACUGGGCGUAAAGGGCGCGUAGGCGGCCUCUGCAAGUCGACUGUGAAAUCUCCGGGCUUAACCCGGAAAGGUCAGCCGAUACUGCAGGGCUAGAGUGCAGAAGGGGCAACUGGAAUUCUCGGUGUAGCGGUGAAAUGCGUAGAUAUCGAGAGGAACACCUGCGGCGAAGGCGGGUUGCUGGGCUGACACUGACGCUGAAGUGCGAAAGCUAGGGGAGCGAACGGGAUUAGAUACCCCGGUAGUCCUAGCCUUAAACGAUGAAUGCUUGGUGUCUGGGGUUUUAUAGUCCCCGGGUGCCGUCGCUAACGCUUUAAGCAUUCCGCCUGGGGAGUACGGUCGCAAGACUG